CUUAUGCAAAAGGAGUCUGCCAGUUAGGAAAAAAUCCCUUCCUCAAAUCCAUCAUACCCCUUCUUUAUGAUGUUCCCAAUGUUGGAUGUGCUGUUAUUUAGAUAGGAAGUACUGUGCAACUUUUCUGUUUACUCGUAAGAUCUGAAGGCUGGAAGUUGUGCUGCUUAUGACUGCAGAAAUGGAUUUCAGUUACUAUGGGAUGAAUCCGUAAAUGGGCUAGCAUCUUCUACUUGAGUUGCGGAUAUUGCUCUGCAGAGGCACAGAUACCAAGUUUGGCUGCAUGGAAACCACAAA